UUCCCUUGCAAAAAAGCUUGGCAGAUGUAAUUUAUCAAGAAGAUCAGCAGAAUUAUUUUAUGUAUUAUAACACCAGUGAGAAGUCUUGAAUUCCCCUACUUUCACUUUCAUUUUCAGAGGUUAACGCAGACAGACGCAUUUUGCCGGAAAACGAAUCUGACAUGCCACCUCGAGAUUUUAACCAAGGAAAGACAACUUGAUGUGCUUUGAUUUGAGGGGUCACUCAAUGCUGAACGAAAAUUAGGGACAUUGCUAUGUGAAGAAACGUUAACAUUGCCGCCUAUGGGAAAACAAUUAGUGGGCUGUACCCAAUAUGUUGAGCCUAUUGGUUCAUGGUGAUACAGGACAACUUCGAGGUUCAUGCAGAUGGUGUUUAAAACUAUCAGUCAGUAAAAACAAACUCAUUUGAACAUAUCUCGAGUCUUCACAUGUAAAAUGAUGGCCGCAGUACUUUUAAUAUAGGUUAACGCAGACAGACGCAUUUUGCCGGAAAACGAAUCUGACAUGCCACCUCGAGAUUUUAACCAAGGAAAGACAACUUGAUGUGCUUUGAUUUGAGGGGUCACUCAAUGCUGAACGAAAAUUAGGGACAUUGCUAUGUGAAGAAACGUUAACAUUGCCGCCUAUGGGAAAACAAUUAGUGGGCUGUACCCAAUAUGUUGAGCCUAUUGGUUCAUGGUGAUACAGGACAACUUCGAGGUUCAUGCAGAUGGUGUUUAAAACUAUCAGUCAGUAAAAACAAACUCAUUUGAACAUAUCUCGAGUCUUCACAUGUAAAAUGAUGGCCGCAGUACUUUUAAUAUAGGUUAACGCAGACAGACGCAUUUUGCCGGAAAACGAAUCUGACAUGCCACCUCGAGAUUUUAACCAAGGAAAGACAACUUGAUGUGCUUUGAUUUGAGGGGUCACUCAAUGCUGAACGAAAAUUAGGGACAUUGCUAUGUGAAGAAACGUUAACAUUGCCGCCUAUGGGAAAACAAUUAGUGGGCUGUA